rnacentral:rRNA from 1 species
CACGUAGGGUCCGAGCGUUGUCCGGAAUUACUGGGCGUAAAGCGUGCGCAGGCGGUUUUGUAAGCCAGAGGUGAAAUCCCCGGGCUUAACCUGGGAAUGGCAUUUGGGACUGCAAGGCUGGAGUGUGGCAGAGGAGACUGGAAUUCCUGGUGUAGCAGUGAAAUGCGUAGAUAUCAGGAGGAAUACCGAUGGCGAAGGCAGGUCUCUGGGCUGACACUGACGCUCAUGCACGAAAGCGUGGGGAGCAAACCGG